rnacentral:rRNA from 1 species
AUACGGAGGAUCCGAGCGUUAUCCGGAUUUAUUGGGUUUAAAGGGAGCGUAGGUGGGAUAUUAAGUCAGCUGUGAAAGUUUGGGGCUCAACCUUAAAAUUGCAGUUGAUACUGGUUUCCUUGAGUACGGUACAGGUGGGCGGAAUUCGUGGUGUAGCGGUGAAAUGCUUAGAUAUCACGAAGAACUCCGAUCGCGAAGGCAGCUCACCGGGCCGGAACUGACACUGAUGCUCGAAAGUGCGGGUAUCAAACAGGAUUAGAUACCCUGGUAGUCCGCACAGUAAACGAUGAAUACUCGCUGUUUGCGAUACACGGUAAGCGGCCAAGCGAAAGCGUUAAGUAUUCCACCUGGGGAGUACGCCGGCAACGGUGAAACUCAAAGGAAUUGACGG